UGAUUGUUUAUAGUUUUACCUCUAAUAGUAUCAUCUUCAAGCGUUAGCCUAUAGUUAUUUUUAGAUCUUUGUCACGUCUAUUACGGGUAUAAGGGGUGACAGGUUGUGUUGUGUCAUUGCCUGUCUUAUGUUCUUUGUCUUGCGCGGCCCCUUGUGUGGAUUGGCUUGUUUUUUAAAAUACUAAAAGCUACUUGCACGUCAGCCAUUGCACUUCACAACAAUCAGAGCACGUCAGCGAUCACAUCUCCGAGCACUUAGGACUAAAUAACAAAUCUAAAGCAGCGUUAUAUUCCUCCAGAGGACGUGGAAUAUCUACACCCCAGUGUCACCCACAGGGGUGUCUGUCUGUCAACAUACAAAGAAAAUAAAGUCUCACACCCGUAGCCUGUGUCUGGUCUUCCUAUAUACCUACACGAUUCCGGUUACAUAAUGG